AUUGAACGCUGGCGGCAGGCUUAACACAUGCAAGUCGAGCGGAGUGAUGGUGCUUGCACUAUCACUUAGCGGCGGACGGGUGAGUAAUGCUUAGGAAUCUGCCUAUUAGUGGGGGACAACAUCUCGAAAGGGAUGCUAAUACCGCAUACGUCCUACGGGAGAAAGCAGGGGAUCACUUGUGACCUUGCGCUAAUAGAUGAGCCUAAGUCGGAUUAGCUAGUUGGUGGGGUAAAGGUAUACCAAGGCGACGAUCUGUAGCGGGGCUGAGAGGAUGAUCCGCCACACUGGGACUGAGACACGGCCCAGACUCCUACGGGAGGCAGCAGUGGGGAAUAUUGGACAAUGGGGGGAACCCUGAUCCAGCCAUGCCGCGUGUGUGAAGAAGGCCUUAUGGUUGUAAAGCACUUUAAGCGAGGAGGAGGCUCUUUUGGUUAAUACCCAAGAUGAGUGGACGUUACUCGCAGAAUAAGCACCGGCUAACUCUGUGCCAGCAGCCGCGGUAA
rnacentral:rRNA from 1 species